UCGGCCGGUCCGUCCGUCGUCGCCGCUCCGCCACACACGACGGCGCCGCCCGCUGCCCGCCGGCGGUUCCCCGUGACGCGGCCUCCGGCGCUCUAGGAUCUUGCAGGGGCUGCCUCGUCAUAAUCCCCACGCCCCCACCCCCACCCCCACGCACUGACCUCCUCAUCAUCCCCACUUCAGGCCGCAGGAUGCAGCAGGGGCUUCAGCAACAGGUAAAUCGCCGCUUCAGGGGCGACGGCCGGCAAGGCCAGGCACUGUUUGCCGGCAGGUUUGCAGUGUGAAGCUUCUAUUUGUUAUGUCUAGAGAAGAUCAAUCCGGCUUUCACAUCAUAUGCUUGGAGUAUGCAAGUAAAUGUAUGAUGACUGCGACAUCCCUGCUUGCAACUUGAUCUUACAACAAGUUUGCAACUGUGAUAGUUUUGCAAAGCUAGUAUCCAUGAAUUUUUCGGAGGACUUUGAAUAUUACUAGUAAUGAGCAUUAUAAAAAUAUUUCUGCGUUCCUCACUGCAGGUACAAUCCGUUAAUCACUGUGUUUUUCUGACCAAUUUCAUAAUUCAUGGAUUCGAUUACCUGUGUUGGCGCUGGUUCUUCCAAGUAGUUUCCCUUGUGCCCUGUUUUCUACUUGUUAACACUGAUAUAAUUGCAAGAAUACCAUGGCAAAGACAACAAGUGCUAAACAAUGUGCUUGAUCAGUAUACUACUUUCUCCUUUGUUUAUAGUCAAUUAGCUGUGAAGCUACAGAAGGCAAUUUGCUCAGAUGAAGAAUAUUGGUUUGCCUUAUUCAGGAAACAUAUUUCUUAAAUGUGCUAUUUACAAGAAAUUCUGACAUAGGACAUCCAUAACAUAUUCUAGGACCUUCCAUAUGUGUCAUGGACUAACUCCUGGGUUCUGGUUCUACAGUAUGACAGUAACCACCCAAUCACUCUGCCAAACUGCCAUAUAUGUGUCUGAUACCUGGGGAUACACGCGUUGGGGAUAUUGGGAAACUUUGUCUUCCAAUUUUUUUCCUCAUAUCACUCUUUGAUACUUCCUGAUGUUUCGUGGUUCAAUGCCUCCUGAAGUGCCCCCCAAAAAAUCUUGAGGUGGAAAAACUUUUAGAAGAAAUUAUAAUCUAGCACAUCCACAAUACACUCUAGGACCUUCCCUUUGUGUUGUGGACUAACUUCUGGCUUCUGGUUCUACAAUAUGACAGUAACUAUCCACGGGGAUAUGCUAUUCUGCCCCACCAUUUUGCCAAACUGCCAUAUGUGUGUUCGAUACCUGGAGAUACAGGCAUCAAAGAGUAUUGGGGAACUUUGACUUUCAAGAUUAAGAAAUCAUGAUAUCCCACCAUUACUCUUCGACGCUUCCGACACUUCAUGGUUUAGAACCCCCUGAAGUUCCCUCCCCAUAAAAAGAUUUGAAUCUAACCCCACGAAAGCCAUUAGAUCUAUAACUAUAAACCCUAGCAAACCUUAUCAAUCUCAGAUCUAACCUGGGAACCCUCGACGCUGCCCUUGGUGAAUCCUUGACAUCGCUCCCUUGGUCCAUUGGACGAUGCCUGCGCCAUACGGCAGCAAUGGCGCUCCAACCCGGCAAGCCAUGAGGAAGAGGUGGCUUCGCUUGCCUCGGCGGAAGGAGCGGCUUGGUUACUCAUCAGCCGGCGGUGCCGAGACGCACAAGGAACACCGAAUCGAUGUGCCAGGCCGCCGGCGUAGGAGGAUGGCAACCCUUUUGGUGGAAGAGGGCAUCAUGGAACUGCUCUUGCGGAGGUGCUGGCCUGGCGGCGCUGCAUCCGCCCCAUGGGUGGUGGCUGCCAAGCGCAAGGGCAGCCCUAGGUUACUUUGUGUGUAGCCGUGUUUGCUGCGAGCAUAUAGGCCUAUAUGGGCCCAGCCAGCUGUCACUCACCCUUUCCAUUUUCUCUUGGGCCCAAUAUGAAUACGAAUAUUAUUUGGAACAUAAUUAAGAAUAUUUGGUGUGUUUUGUGAAGAAACGCUUAGGGAGUAGGACGAAUAUGCCCUUCUAUUGUAAUAUCCAAUUUAGAGUAUUAGGAGACUAGAUAUACAGUUUUUAUUCAGGCAGUAACAUUUUUCCAUACUCAUACUUGUCUUUGUUGCCAUACCGGCAUGUCAGCACUCACCACCCACAUCGUGUAUUCAGGAAGCUUAGGAGAUAUUCAAGCAGACUUGUCUUAGGCUCUGGUAGUAUCCUUGAGAAGUUAUCAAAUUCUAUUAAGCACUCAGCCCCAGCUUCAAUAGCUCCCUUUCAUAUCAGCUUCUGAUAACGUGUGUUAUGCUUCAGUGUAUUUAGUAUACAACUGAACUAUCAGAAGAAAAAAAGAGUAGACAAAAUGCAUACAAUUCACAUGGCUGUGAGUCAAGUUUAUCUAGAGGUUGAGUACCAUGCAUCCAACAACGCAAUGGCUUAGGUCAUUGGACAUAGAAAUGAUCAGGUAGGUUUUAUGUUAUUCACCUUAUUUUCGAGUUGAAUUCUUGCUUCUCGUUUUACAAUGCAACUCAGCAACUAAAAAGGUAGAGUAUUUGCUUGUGUUUAUUCACCUAUUUAACAUCCAGGACUUCCUUGGUUUGAGUCUCCAAAUUGACAGACAAACCAUAUAUUAUUAGCCAAUUUGGGUUUUCAUGCAGCCUUUUGCACUCUCUUUGCUCUUUGUUGAGAGCAUUCAUUUUAUUUACUUGAGUUGUGAUGUAUUGUUUCUCCUCUACAAAGAUCAAUAUGGACCGUCACUAAGAAUGUUCCUUCUGGGAGGCAGUUAUGGUUAGUAUCUACUAGUGCUUUCCUCUGAUGCACCUUGCACCUUUUUUAUGGAAAUUGCAGACUUACGGCCUUGCAACUGGAUAGCCUUAGUUCCAUUCCUUUAAUGGUUGGUAUCUCCACUACUACUUAUUUUUCUCGAGACUCAUCUUUGACUGCUGUUUGUAUCAGUUUCGCAGCACCUAGCCACUUGAAAGGAUAUGGUAUGAUUAAAUACCUAAAACAUACCCUGUUUUGCAAUAGGGAUAUUCUGUGUCUUGCUUUGUCAUAUGUAGGAUUGUGUUCCCAUUAUGCAGCUAGGAAGGCAGGUAGUCCAGAGUCCACGUCGAACUCUUAACACCUUUUGUUACAAAAGAAAAGUGGUGUGCGCCUACCCAUUCGGAUUUUACCCUUAAGCAAAAUAGACCUGACAUAGCAAAAUUUUCUUUAUCCAUCCAAUGUGUAUUGGCCAGUGUGGUGAUGCAUUUUGUUUUGCUUCUGUUGCUGCUACGAUAUGCAUUGUGCAGAAUAUAUCAUCAUUAUAUAUUUUUUAUGUAAAAUAUCAUAUUCUAAUGGUAAGCAUAUGUUCAUUUAUACCACGUUGCAAUGUUGCUUCAUUCUAGUUUAUUUUCUUCUGUUUUAAUUCAGAUGUGAUUCAAGCAACAUUGGCUAUUUUGAAGGGUGAAUUCAGUCAAAGGAAUUGCGUUUCAACGCGUGUAAUUUUUGCCACCCAUACUGCUAAUGGACCAACAGCUUUUGUUUGGUAUCAGCAUUGAACGACUUAUGGCUCCUUUUGAUUCAAAAGAAUUUGACAGGAACUUUGGAGGAUUUGAGUCAGUAGGAUUUGCUUUUCCUUGGGAAGACUUUUCCCUUGUGCUACAGUUAUUUUGUUUCUCUUAUGAUGUGCCAAACAAUCUUUGAUGUUGAAUUACAUGACACACCAAUGCUUCGCUUUUCUUAUUCUUGUGUGUUGAGUAACCUUGUGGAUCAGAGCCCUUUGAUUUGGUGGAUUGGAUAUGGGUUUGUACAUUUGUCAUCUUAGGAUGUAAUUUUU